CAGUCGCCGCGGUAAUACGUAGGUGGCAAGCGUUGUCCGGAAUUAUUGGGCGUAAAGCGCGCGCAGGCGGCCUAUCCAGUCUGUCUUAAAAGUUCGGGGCUCAACCCCGUGAUGGGAUGGAAACUAGUAGGCUAGAGUAUCGGAGAGGAAAGCGGAAUUCCUAGUGUAGCGGUGAAAUGCGUAGAUAUUAGGAAGAACACCAGUGGCGAAGGCGGCUUUCUGGACGAAAACUGACGCUGAGGCGCAAAAGCCAGGGGAGCGAACGGGAUUAGAUACCCCAGUAGUCCCUGUCUCUUAUACA
rnacentral:rRNA from 1 species